rnacentral:rRNA from 1 species
UGCGUAGGCGGGCUAAUAAGUCAGUGGUGAAAUCUCUCGGCUCAACCGGGAAACUGCCAUUGAUACUGUUAGUCUUGAGUUCGGUUGAGGUAGGCGGAAUGUGUAAUGUAGCGGUGAAAUGCUUAGAUAUUACAUAGAACACCAAUUGCGUAGGCAGCUUACUAGACCGACACUGACGCUGAGGCACGAAAGCGUGGGGAGCGAACAGGAUUAGAUACCCUGGUAGUCC